AUCAACAACCCGGUGGACAGAGCAGCCGAACCCCAUUUUGGAACCCUCCCCAAAGCACUGACAAAGAAGGAGCACCCUCCGGCCAUGAAUCACCUGGACUCCAGCAGCAACCCUUCCUCCACCACCUCCUCCACACCCUCCUCGCCGGCGCCUUUCCCGACAUCAUCCAACCCAUCCAGCGCCACCACGCCCCCCAACCCCUCACCUGGCCAGCGGGACAGCAGGUUCAACUUCCCAGCUGCCUACUUCAUUCAUCAUAGACAGCAGUUUAUCUUUCCAGACAUUUCGGCCUUUGCACAGGCAGCCCCGCUCCCUGAAGCUGCCAACGGUACCCGGCUCGAUGACCAGCCGAAAGCAGAUGUGUUGGAGGCUCAUGAAGCGGAG
rnacentral:sRNA from 1 species